GACGAACGCUGGCGGCGUGCUUAACACAUGCAAGUCGAGCGAGGCCCUGCCUUCGGGAAGGUGUCCUAGCGGCGAACGGGUGAGUAACACGUGGGCAACCUGCCCUCAGCUCUGGGAUAACUCCGGGGAAACCGGGCUAAUACCGGAUGCGACCUCAUGGGGCAUCCCUCGAGGUGGAAAGUUUUUCGGCUGAGGAUGGGCCCGCGGCCUAUCAGCUUGUUGGUGGGGUGACGGCCACCAAGGCGACGACGGGUAGCCGGCCUGAGAGGGUGACCGGCACACUGGGACUGAGA
rnacentral:rRNA from 1 species